rnacentral:lncRNA from 1 species
GUCCACAAGGUGAAUCCAGAACAGGUCCACCAGGGUCUACAGGUUCAAGAGGCCCUCCUGGUCCCCCUGGUCGUCCAGGAAACUCAGGUAUCCGAGGACCCCCAGGUCCUCCUGGAUAUUGUGAUUCAUCCCAGUGUGCCAGCAUUCCAUACAACGGGCAAGGCUAUCCAGGUUCCGGCUAACAAACUUUCUAAGUCUCCAGUGCUGCUUACAGUUUGAAUACAUGAGAAUCCUGUUUCUGAGAUGUUUGCGCACGUGCUUAUUAGAAAAUGAGUCUGUAUGGAAAUCUCACGGCAGAUAUGGUUAACGAACUGGGUCGGCAUCACACAGGAGGGUGGAGACUCCAUACUAACUUGAAUGACGCAACGGGCAGUGGUGUCCGCCUGAUGCUUUUCAGCAGUAAUGUAGAAAACCAUCUUUUAAAAAGUCCGAAUGCAGCUGGGAGGAGCCCUGGCUGUGAAGGAGGUGCCCUAAUAAGCUACUAACCAGCAGAGACACGCCAUGUUAAGACAGACGAUUAACCGGGUUGAAGAGAAAGACCCCGUGUAAAUAAUCAACUAAUUGUGGCUUGUACAUGAUCUGUAUGUGAUCCCGUGUACUAAAAUUUCGUUAACCACUCAACAACCCGCUUCUGCGCUAAAGCCUGCUGGCCGUUUGCUCUCUGCAGUAAUAACGAACAGAUCUGAUCCUUUCUUGCUUGUUAGCAGUGUGUCUGAGUUCAGGGCAUGUGACUUCUCAGCAUUCUGGGUGUGUACUUUUAUUUGGGUUUCUUACCUGCAAUCUUUCAAACCAAAGUUUAAAAAUCACCGUUCCUUCCGGUUUGGCUGUAGUCACAGGUGUUCCUCACCCACUCACUGGCUGUAACUCUGCUGGAGACAUAGCCAUAGGGGACACGGUGGACUGUAGAAAACCUGGUGACAGCUCCUUUCACCCCGAGAUCAAUCUCUAGGCCCAAAUACUCUUCAUGUCCUCAGCUCUCGAAGUCAUUUGCUAACCCUGAUGAGUUUGAAGUCAUGAACAGUUAUCUGGGGAUUUGCCAAAAAAAGCCUACCUAGGUACUGUGUUUACAAUUCUUUGGCCCAAUUUCUGAUCCUUCCCAGGUUUUGUGCAAUGAUUGUGUUUACUGCUGGAUAUUUGCGACACCCCCACCCCCACCCCCACCCUACCCCCACCGCUGGCGCUCCUUAUUCGAUCACCAAAUUCACCCUGCACAUGUGCACAUGGAAAUAAUCGGAUCGCUGUAAUGCAAUACAUCUAUUUGUGGUUGUGAGAUUAAGACUGGAGUAUCGUCACCUCCAGUGAUGACUUAACUUUUGCUGUGCGUGUGUACCUUCCAAGUCAUGCUAUAACUGUAAUGUUGAAUCGGACAGAGCCUUAUGUGCCCGAGGGCGGGGCCUACCUGCCUGACCGCGAGCCCUUCAUCGUACCUGUGGAGCCUGAGAGGACGGCAGAAUACGAGGAUGACUACGGGGCAGAUGAGCCUGAGCAGCAGCACCCUGACCACAGGCGUUGGCGGCGAGCCCUACGCC